GGCCCGUUCGUCUAUCGGUUAGGACGCAUGGUUUUCAUCCAUGUAAGAGCGGUUCGAUUCCGCUACGGGCUACAA
rnacentral:tRNA from 63 species